rnacentral:misc_RNA from 1 species
UCUCCGUAGGUGUACCUGCGGAGGGAUCAUUACUAAGUGAGGGCUUCGGUUCGACCUCCAACCCUUUGUGAACCAAACUUGUUGCUUCGGGGGCGACCCUGCCGCUUCGGCGGUGCGGCGCCACCGGAGGCCAUUAAACACUGCAUCAUUGCGUCGGAGUUAAAGUAAAUUAAACAAAACUUUCAACAACGGAUCUCUUGGUUCCAGCAUCGAUGAAGAACGCAGC